rnacentral:rRNA from 1 species
GCCUAAAGCGUCCGUAGCCGGCUCUGUAAGUUUUCGGUUAAAUCCAUAUGCUCAACAUAUGGGCCGCCGGGAAUACUGCAUAGCUAGGGAGUGGGAGAGGUAGACGGUACUCCGUAGGAAGGGGUAAAAUCCUUUGAUCUAUGGAUGACCACCUGUGGCGAAGGCGGUCUACCAGAACACGUUCGACGGUGAGGGAUGAAAGCUGGGGGAACAAACCGGAUUAGAUACCCGGGUAGUCCCAGCUGUAAACUAUGCAAACUCAGUGAUGCAUUGGCUUGUGGCCAGUGCAGUGCCGCAGAGAAGUCGUUAAGUUUGCCGCCUGGGAAGUACGUACGCAAGUAUGAAACUUAAAGGAAUUGGCGGGGGAGCACCACAAGGGGUGAAGCCUGCGGUUUAAUUGGAGUCAACGCCAGAAAUCUUACCCGGAGAGACAGCAGGAUGAAGGUCAAGCUGAAGACUUUACCAGACAAGCUGAGAAGUGGUGCAUGGCCGUCGCCAGCUCGUGCCGUGAGGUGUCCUGUUAAGUCAGGUAACGAGCGAGAUCCUUGCCUCUAGUUGCCACCAUUACUCUCAGGAGUAGUGGGGCGAAUUAGCGGGACUGCCGUAGUUAAUACGGAGGAAGGAGAGGGCCACGGCAGGUCAGUAUGCCCCGAA